GGAGCAGGAACUCAAGCCCACUGGUCUGUAUAAUUCAACAAAGCACAAUUAUUUUAGGCAUAAGUGAUUAGGUUGCAAACAAGCUGCUAUUUUCCUUCAUUGCAAGCACAGGACUCAAAGUCACCAAUUUAAAAUGAAAAACCCAAUGGAAAUAAAGUGUCCUCAGUUUUCAAGGUGGAGAUGAAGAGAAAGAAGAAGAGACAAUGCUCUGGUACAACCAUCGGCAUCUCGUCUUAAUUACCUCGAUAUUUGACUUCUUAAAUAAUGUUGCCUUAGCUACUCUGAAGUGAGCCCUCGGGCUCCUACUUAGAAAUCCCUGCUAUUUUUUGCUAUUACAUAUUUUCUUACUUGGAAUUUGCUGUAUGUCAAAGUUAUUUUACAGCAUCUUCACAAAAUACCUAUUGCUGGAAGCCUCACUGUUUAGCUGAAAGCUGUUGCCUGAUCACACGCUCAGUAAUCAGAUCAAAAUUUUAAGUCAACUUUGUCCCUAUUCCUCUAAACUCAUGGUGCUUUUGUUCUGAAAGCAAACUUUGGAGAGUCAUUACAAUCAGUUCAGCGAAAGUCAAUACUUCUUUCAUGUUAACAGCCUUUUAAGUCUUGUUCAAUAGGGGAAAGGAUACAUUUUUUUUGUAGGAGGGACCCAUCUAUCAUUAAAUCUCUGUAUGGAGCUCAAUAGUUUUUACAUUCUUUGUGGUUUAUCAGGCUUUUUCAUCGGUAAACCAGUUAAUUUACACCACCACUGUCUUCCUGUCAGAAACAGAAGAAAGGAUUUGUGGUAACUUGAAACCGAAACCCGCUCAUUGCCAAUGGACAGACAAUUUGCCAUAUCAGUGUGCACUGAAUGCAAAGGCAUUUCAAUGGAAAAAGCACUGAAGGAUACCACAUUGCUUUAGAGAGCAGCAGUAAACUAUACUCAACAGGUAACAUAAACAUUGUUUUCUUUCCUUCUGGCGAUGCUGGUACCUGCUUCUUUCCUGUGUUUGGGAAAGGCAAUGUUUGCUUUAAAUUAUCUUUAUUCUGCUCCCUCCCAAUUCAUCAUUCAGUUAAAAGCAAUAAUCUCUGUACACCAGGUCCCCCUUUGUGACACUCCAGAAUGUACGUCCCAAAUGUACACAUCUUGAUUUGUAUUCACUUUUGUUUUUGAUGGAAUUAAAACGUUUGCAU